CAGUCGGGAAGGUAAGUGAGUGCUAUUUAAGUACCUACCUCGAAGCCAACGGUCCUUUUUGCAGCAGAGAGCUGCAGGAAGAGCGGAAGAAGUGUGGAGCUUGCUGGGAAGAUUUCCAGCAGCCACAGUUCUUUCAGUUUUUUGACAAAGUAAUCAAUGGCUGAAACAAGUCCGUCCAGCAAGCUGUAGAGUCCCUGUGCUAACCAACACAUGCCACUAGAUGGAAUCUUCAGUACAUGUUCAGAAUGGCAGCCAGGCAGAGCUUCAAGAUCAAAGGCAGCAAUUUAAGAUUAAUGUUAAGAAGAGCGCCAGAGGCAAAACCAAGACAAGAGGAAAGAGAGAGCAAGAGCAGGAAGCAGUAACUCCUGGAGGCAGAACUGAAGUGGAAGGUAAGGCAGGUUGAGGGAUGUGACGAAGCCUGAAGAAGUAAUCUUUUAAAAGCAAAACACAUUGUCAAAAUACAUUGAGUGAGAACUUUAGGCAAGGACUUGCUACAGUAAGAUGGAACUUAAAACUUCGUGUGUUUAAAAACUGGACGGCACUAGAUGCUGAGACUCAUAUAUUUACAGGGAAUCCAUCUACUGAUUACCACUGCUGCCCUCCCUCAACUAAUUGUUCAUUCCUUCUGUACUGAGCACCAUUUGAAGGAAAAUAUAAUCUGGAUAAGGGACUUCAAAGUCUGUAGCUCGAAUGGUUCAAUAGCAGUACCAGUGACCAGUGCAUAUGGUAACGUCACGGUUAUUUAUGUAUAAAUGUUAACUUAAGGUGAGGUGCAGGUACCUAGGUAAACUCAACUUUAAAAAUUGCUGUCUAAGUUAUACUGCUAACCUGUUACUUCACAAAAACUGUGUUUUGCUCUCCAGCUCACCAUUGAAACACAUUGUACGUGCAUGAUGAAAGUGCUGUAUUUGUGUAGUGGGUAUAAGUUAAAGUUCUACAGGAAGUUAAAACUAAUUAACUUUAUGCCUAAGAGCUUUUUUAAUUGUGAUAAUUAUUGAGUAGUGCCCUGCAAAUAAUCUGGCACAAAAAAUUGUUUUAAGUGUGAAGUCUUAUUCCUUCAGGUUUUAAUUAUGCUGGGCCAUUUUUAAAAUAAAUGCUUAACUUCUCCUUUUCUGUCUUUCCUUUCUUACCCCACCCCUCUUCUGAUCUUUUUCCCCCUCUGUACUUUUCAUUCUGUAUCUGAUCCAACAUUGAAUUCACUCACU